AUCGCGAUGUAUUUUCCCAGUAAUAUUGUAUCGAUAUUCUCGAACUCUGUCUCUAAAAUAUCGAUAUGGCAAUAUAUCGUGAUAUUUUUUCCUGAGAUAUUACAUCCAUUUUCAAAAGCAGUGUAUCUAAUUUUUGGAAGAAUUUACAUGCAAACAUUUGUGUAUUUUCUUUGUUUUUGGUGCAUUUUAAAUGUGGCCCGCUAGUUGGCAGCAGUGUGCAUUGGGUUUUGUUUCCACCAUUGAAAUUUAAAUCUCGCUAUUAUGGUUCAGAAACUCAUGUUAUAUAUGUUAAGUAUCAGUUUGGACUGUUUAUUGAAUAUUCCAACAAUAAAUUCUGUCAAAAAUACACAUCCCUACUGCAGACCAAUCCCACCUCAUGUAGUUCAUAUGCUGUAUAAUAAACCCACAGUGAUGGUUAUGGAUAAAUAUCUGUACUAAUGGUAAUCUUUUUCCAUUGUUUCCAGCUGACAAGCAUAUGGACCUAUUGUUCGAGUCCGUGGUGGUGGAUGCUCUAUCAUAUCAGGAGUCUGACUAAGUACCUGUGCCUGAACCUCUCUGUGUCUAGUUCAAAAGACCUGAAAGACCUGCUGUAAGCAGGCACAGGAUAAGAUUUUAAAAGAACCUGUAAGGUUACCUGAUGCUGAACUUCGGGCAGCUGCGUGCUCAGUGGAACAACCGCCUGUGGGAGGAGUCGUUGUGUUGCUGUUAGGAGUUUGGGUCGGAGUCCUGGAUCUAUGGGAAUUCUUUCCUUGAAGCUCCUGAUCACACAACCAUACUGGCAGUCGGCUUACCCACUACCUUCUGCUCACCCGCUUGCUACUCAUGCUGUCAUUCUCCCAGACUUCUGGUUGUUUCUCCACCAUUCUGCUGUCUCCCGUCUGCGCUACAAUUUCAGACCGUAAGUACCUAAACUUUUCCUUUUGUAAGUCAUUCUUUAGUCAUUACUAACACUCAAUUUUACCUCAGGGCCUUCUGAUCUUUAAACACUAAAACCUGUGGCUCCAUCUCUGUGGCGUUUCUCAGACUCUGUAAGCUACCUG